rnacentral:lncRNA from 1 species
ACGUUCUCGGCUGCUGCUUGGACUAGAAACUGCAGAUUGCGGUCCGGUGCCCUGCAGCUGAGGGUGCGGGGUGCAAGCACACGCACACUCAUUAAGAGUCGUGUAUUUAUUGAAUGUCCGAAUUGGGUUAGUUCAUUGGAAAUCCCCAAGGAGGAUUUAAUUUGUCCUUGUUUUCGUUGCCACUUUCUCUUUUUUCUUGGUUCGCUGAGGUUCCUCUGUGCGGCGUUUCCGCUUGGCCGCGUCGUCCCCCCCCCCCCCAACACACACACACCACACCACCCCCUCUUCUCCCGCCUACCGGGCGCACUCCUCCUCCCGGGCCCCUUAACUCUUUCAGCUGGGUUGCGGCUGAGAAAGCACUUGUCGACAGCGGUCACAGCCACCUCGCAAAACCUGAGACCCAAAGAAAGAGGAAAAUAAAGCGUCCCCAUGCCCAA